rnacentral:rRNA from 1 species
AUAUUGCACAAUGGGCGCAAGCCUGAUGCAGCCAUGCCGCGUGUGUGAAGAAGGCCUUCGGGUUGUAAAGCACUUUCAGUCGUGAGGAAGGUGGUAGUGUUAAUAGCACUAUCAUUUGACGUUAGCGACAGAAGAAGCACCGGCUAACUCCGUGCCAGCAGCCGCGGUAAUACGGAGGGUGCGAGCGUUAAUCGGAAUUACUGGGCGUAAAGCGCAUGCAGGUGGUUUGUUAAGUCAGAUGUGAAAGCCCGGGGCUCAACCUCGGAAUUGCAUUUGAAACUGGCAGACUAGAGUACUGUAGAGGGGGGUAGAAUUUCAGGUGUAGCGGUGAAAUGCGUAGAGAUCUGAAGGAAUACCGGUGGCGAAGGCGGCCCCCUGGACAGAUACUGACACUCAGAUGCGAAAGCGUGGGGAGCAAACAGGAUUAGAUACCCUGGUAGUCCACGCCGUAAACGAUGUCUACUUGGAGGUUGUGGCCUUGAGCCGUGGCUUUCGGAGCUAACGCGUUAAGUAGACCGCCUGGGGAGUACGGUCGCAAGAUUAAAACUCAAAUGAAUUGACGGGGGCCCGCACAAGCGGUGGAGCAUGUGGUUUAAUUCGAUGCAACGCGAAGAACCUUACCUACUCUUGACAUCCAGAGAACUUUCCAGAGAUGGAUUGGUGCCUUCGGGAACUCUGAGACAGGUGCUGCAUGGCUGUCGUCAGCUCGUGUUGUGAAAUGUUGGGUUAAGUCCCGCAACGAGCGCAACCCUUAUCCUUGUUUGCCAGCGAGUAAUGUCGGGAACUCCAGGGAGACUGCCGGUGAUAAACCGGAGGAAGGUGGGGACGACGUCAAGUCAUCAUGGCCCUUACGAGUAGGGCUACACACGUGCUACAAUGGCGCAUACAGAGGGCGGCCAACUUGCGAAAGUGAGCGAAUCCCAAAAAGUGCGUCGUAGUCCGGAUUGGAGUCUGCAACUCGACUCCAUGAAGUCGGAAUCGCUAGUAAUCGUGGAUCAGAAUGCCACGGUGAAUACGUUCCCGGGCCUUGUACACACCGCCCGUCACACCAUGGGAGUGGGCUGCAAAAGAAGUAGGUAGUUUAACCUUCGGGGGGACGCUUACCACUUUGUGGUUCAUGACUGGGGUGAAGUCGUAACAAGGUAGCGCUAGGGGAACCUGGCGCUGGAUCACCUCCUUA